GACGAACGCUGGCGGCGUGCUUAACACAUGCAAGUCGAGCGGUAAGGCCCUUUCGGGGGUACACGAGCGGCGAACGGGUGAGUAACACGUGGGUGACCUGCCCUUAGCUCCGGGAUAAGCCUGGGAAACUGGGUCUAAUACCGGAUAUGACUCCAUGACGCAUGUUGUGGGGUGGAAAGCCUUGUGCGGCUAGGGAUGGGCCCGCGGCCUAUCAGCUUGUUGGUGGGGUGAUGGCCUACCAAGGCGACGACGGGUAGCCGGCCUGAGGG
rnacentral:rRNA from 1 species